UGGAAUUCGUGGUAAGAAACCUUGUGAGAAACGGAUGCAGCAGGAGCCAGAAAUUACACCGCCUGUUACUCCCGCUGCGGAUAAUUUUCCCGGAUUUGUCCAAACUCUCAGCGUAACUUGUUUGACCUCUGUGGAAAACAACCUCAAUAUGUUGGACGCCAUUAGCCACACGACCCAUUCAACCCGCGGAUACAGUUUGUCGUUGAUUCCUUCCGGGGUGACGACAUUGGCAUCAGAUGCGGUUCAACCAAACUGCACACGAACCGAUCGUGCUCGAGGUCGUGAUUUAUCGUUUGAAGGUGCAGAGUGAUUUUUUUCUUCUUUUUUUUUAAAUAAAUAAAAUUAAAUGCAAUGUUCCAACGA